rnacentral:rRNA from 1 species
GAUGAACGCUGGCGGCGUGCUUAACACAUGCAAGUCGAACGAAGCACUUUAUUUGAUUUCCUUCGGGACUGAUUAUUUUGUGACUGAGUGGCGGACGGGUGAGUAACGCGUGGGUAACCUGCCUUGUACAGGGGGAUAACAGUUGGAAACGGCUGCUAAUACCGCAUAAGCGCACAGCAUCUCAUGAUGCAGUGUGAAAAACUCCGGUGGUAUAAGAUGGACCCGCGUUGGAUUAGCUAGUUGGUGAGGUAACGGCCCACCAAGGCGACGAUCCAUAGCCGACCUGAGAGGGUGACCGGCCACAUUGGGACUGAGACACGGCACAAACUCCUACGGGAGGCAGCAGUGGGGAAUAUUGCACAAUGGGCGAAAGCCUGAUGCAGCGACGCCGCGUGAGCGAAGAAGUAUUUCGGUAUGUAAAGCUCUAUCAGCAGGGAAGAUAAUGACGGUACCUGACUAAGAAGCACCGGCUAAAUACGUG